rnacentral:rRNA from 1 species
UACAGAGGUCUCAAGCGUUGUUCGGAUUCAUUGGGCGUAAAGGGUGCGUAGGCGGCGCGGUAAGUCGGGUGUGAAAUCUUGGAGCUUAACUCCGAAGCUGCAUUCGAUACUGCCGUGCUUGAGGACUGGAGAGGAGACUGGAAUUUACGGUGUAGCGGUGAAAUGCGUAGAUAUCGUAAGGAAGACCAAUGGCGAAGGCGGGUCUCUGGACAGUUCCUGACGCUGAGGCACGAAGGCCAGGGGAGCAAACGGG